AUGAAAGUGGCCAUGCAUUUGGCUUUGUUUUGCCGAAAAUUGAAGAACAAAGAACACCUUUGGUGUUUUAAACAUUCGGCAGUUAGGAAGCUAAAAUUUGAUCAAGAAUUAAAGAAGUCGAAUUUGGAUUGGGGAAAAACAAAAGUAGUCGAAUAGUCGAACGUCUCCGUCUAUAUCCGAGACUUAAGAUCAAGCUUCAAGCUCGGG